AGGUGUGUGACACGGGCGGUGAGCCAGGAAGCCGGUCGAUACAGGACUGAUGGUGAAACCGUUUCAUAUCAAGCAAUGGACUUGGAGUGUGCUGUCUGAUUUGCGUGGGUCAAUGUUUCCGAAAGACGGAACAGCAGUGGGGCAAUGACAGUGUGUUGGUUGCAAAGGGUGAUUACAUUAUUAAUUUUGGUGCCUGUUAGUAGCUAUAUGUGGUUAAAAACUCAAGGGUUC
rnacentral:lncRNA from 1 species